UACGUAGGCAGCGAGCGUUGUUCGGAAUUACUGGGCGUAAAGAGUGUGUAGGUGGUGAUCUAAGUCUGUCGUGAAAUCUCCCGGCUUAACUGGGAGGGUGCGGCGGAAACUGGAUCGCUAGAGUAUGGGAGAGGUAAGCGGAAUUCCUGGUGUAGCGGUGAAAUGCGUAGAUAUCAGGAGGAACACCAAUGGGCGAAGGCAGCUCGCUGGGACGUGACUGACGCUGGAGACGCGAAAGCGUGGGGAGCAAACAGG
rnacentral:rRNA from 1 species